UUUGCCGCAGUCAUCAGCAUUGUAUUCGGAUCACGAUUAUUAUUCGAUUGGUCCUAUUCCAAGUACGACGAGAAAGCGUCUAAAUCGGCUAAAAAAUUCAGCACAAGGAGCUAUCGUCUCGGAUGACAACGUUGGGAAUGAGGUUGAAGUUGUUGUGGGUCGAGAAGAAACAAGUAAGGAUUUGGGUCUCUUUGGUAAGACUGGAGCAGAAGAUACAAUUGACUUGGGUCCUUACAUAAAUGCUGACUACAUAUUGUCAUUGGAGGAACAAUUACGUCGUAAAUCUGAGUUUUUGAUGCGAAUAAUCUGAAAUGGAUGGUAUGAUCUGGACGAAAUGAAGUUAUAGAGCUCGAAACGUUGAACGUUCAGCACGAACCGGAAUGCCGAAUAAACGAAGUGUGGCUGCUAACAUUAAUGAUCUAGACGGAAAAUCAUUUAUGCGAUUAAUAAUUGGAUUUAGUAAUAGUACCUUACGCGUCUAUGUGAAAGUUUGGUUAUCUUUGUGGACAAGGUUGUAUAAGCCGAAGACGAUAAACAAAUCAUCCUUAGGAAACGUAAGGUAUUAUCCAACAGAGCAACGAAACAACAUUUAAUUGA